rnacentral:rRNA from 1 species
UACGUAGGGUGCGAGCGUUGUCCGGAAUUAUUGGGCGUAAAGGGCUCGUAGGCGGUUUGUCGCGUCGGGAGUGAAAACCCAGGGCUUAACCCUGGGCUGGCUUUCGAUACGGGCAGACUGGAGGUAUGCAGGGGAGAACGGAAUUCCUGGUGUAGCGGUGAAAUGCGCAGAUAUCAGGAGGAACACCGGUGGCGAAGGCGGUUCUCUGGGCAUGUCCUGACGCUGAGGAGCGAAAGUGUGGGGAGCGAACAGG